AACGCACAUUGCGCCCACUGGUAUUCCGGUGGGCAUGCCUGUUCGAGCGUCAUUAUCCCCCCUCAAACCCCCGUGUUUGGUGUUGGGCCGGGUCGUGUGUCCUUUUCGCACGACCGGCCCCAAAGACAAUGACGGCGUCCGUGGGACCCUCGGUGCAACGAGCUUUUUUCGAAGCACGCGCCGAGUUGCAAGGUCCCGGCGGGCCGGUCACCUCUUUUCUCGAGCAAUCGGGAAUCGAACUUUUCAACAGGUUGACCUCGGAUCAGGUAGGAAUACCCGCUGAACUUAA
rnacentral:misc_RNA from 2 species